rnacentral:rRNA from 1 species
UACGUAGGGUGCAAGCGUUGUUCGGAAUUACUGGGCGUAAAGCGCGCGUAGGCGGGCUUGAAAGUUGAUUGUGAAAGCCCUGGGCUUAACCCGGGAAUGGCAGUCAAAACUACAAGUCUUGAGUGCCUGAGAGGAUGGCGGAAUUCCCGGUGUAGUAGUGAAAUACGUAGAUAUCGGGAAGAACACCUGAGGCGAAGGCGGCUAUCUGGCGGUGCACUGACGCUGAGGCGCGAAAGCGUGGGGAGCAAACAGG